rnacentral:rRNA from 1 species
UGGGGAAUCUUGGACAAUGGGCGAAAGCCUGAUCCAGCCAUGCCGCGUGGGUGAAGAAGGCCUUCGGGUUGUAAAGCCCUUUUGUACGGGAAGAAAUCCUGUCGGUUAAUACCCGGCGGGGAUGACGGUACCGUAAGAAUAAGCACCGGCUAACUUCGUGCCAGCAGCCGCGGUAAUACGAAGGGUGCAAGCGUUAAUCGGAAUUACUGGGCGUAAAGCGUGCGUAGGCGGUGAGUUAAGUCUGUCGUGAAAGCCCUGGGCUCAACCUGGGAAUGGCGAUGGAUACUGGCUCGCUAGAGUGUGAUAGAGGAUGGCGGAAUUCCCGGUGUAGCGGUGAAAUGCGUAGAGAUCGGGAGGAACAUCUGUGGCGAAGGCGGCCAUCUGGAUCAACACUGACGCUGAGGCACGAAAGCGUGGGGAGCAAACAGGAUUAGAUACCCAAGUAGUCCCUGAGCGGGCUGGCAAGGCGCAU